GACGAACGCUGGCGGCGUGCUUAACACAUGCAAGUCGAGCGGUAAGGCUCCUUCGGGAGUACACGAGCGGCGAACGGGUGAGUAACACGUGAGUAAUCUGCCCUUCACUUCGGGAUAACCACCGGAAACGGUGGCUAAUACCGGAUACGACCAGUCUUCGCAUGAGGUGCUGGUGGAAAGUUUUUUCGGUGGAGGAUGUGCUCGCGGCCUAUCAGCUUGUUGGUGGGGUAAUGGCCUACCAAGGCUUCGACGGGUAGCCGGCCUGAGAGGGUGACCGGCCACACUGGGACUGAGACACGGCCCAGACUCCUACGGGAGGCAG
rnacentral:rRNA from 1 species